UACGUAGGGGGCAAGCGUUGUCCGGAAUCAUUGGGCGUAAAGCGCGUGUAGGCGGCUCGAUAAGUCUGCUGUGAAAGUUCAGGGCUCAACCCUGAAAUGCCGGUGGAAACUGUCGAGCUAGAGUACGGAAGAGGUGAGUGGAAUCCUGGUGUAGCGGUGAAUGCGCAGAUAUCAGGAGGAACACCAAUGGCGAAGGCAGCUCUGGGACCGUUAACUGACGCUGAGGACGACGAAGCUGGGGAGCAAACAGG
rnacentral:rRNA from 1 species